rnacentral:rRNA from 1 species
CCUACGGGAGGCUGCAGUGGGGAAUAUUGGACAAUGGGGGGAACCCUGAUCCAGCCAUGCCGCGUGUGUGAAGAAGGCCCUCGGGUUGUAAAGCACUUUCAGUGAGGAAGAACGCCUGGUGGUUAAUACCCAUCAGGAAAGACAUCACUCACAGAAGAAGCACCGGCUAACUCCGUGCCAGCAGCCGCGGUAAUACGGAGGGUGCGAGCGUUAAUCGGAAUUACUGGGCGUAAAGCGCGCGUAGGUGGCUUGAUAAGCCGGUUGUGAAAGCCCCGGGCUCAACCUGGGAACGGCAUCCGGAACUGUCCAGCUAGAGUGCAGGAGAGGAAGGUAGAAUUCCCGGUGUAGCGGUGAAAUGCGUAGAGAUCGGGAGGAAUACCAGUGGCGAAGGCGGCCUUCUGGACUGACACUGACACUGAGGUGCGAAAGCGUGGGUAGCAAACAGGAUUAGCUACCAUGGUAGUC